rnacentral:misc_RNA from 1 species
GAGAAGAACGUAGCGAAAUGCGAUAAGUAAUGUGAAUUGCAGAAUUCAGUGAAUCAUCGAAUCUUUGAACGCACAUUGCGCCCGCCAGUAUUCUGGCGGGCAUGCCUGUUCGAGCGUCAUUUCAACCAUCAAGCCCCAGGCUUGUGUUGGAGCCCUGCGGCUGCCGCAGCCUCCCAAAACCAGUGGCGGGCUCGCUAUCACACCGAGUGCAGUAGUUUACUCUUCGCUCAGGGCGUGUGGCGGGUGCUAGCCGUAAAACCCCCAACUUCUCAAGGUUGACCUCGGAUCAGGUAGGAAUACCCGCUGAACUUAAGCAUAUCAAUAAGCGGAGGA